AUUGAACGCUGGCGGCAGGCUAACACAUGCAAGUCGAGCGGCAGCGACAACAUUGAACCUUCGGGGGAUUUGUUGGGCGGCGAGCGGCGGACGGGUGAGUAAUGCCUAGGAAAUUGCCCUGAUGUGGGGGAUAACCAUUGGAAACGAUGGCUAAUACCGCAUGAUGCCUACGGGCCAAAGAGGGGGACCUUCGGGCCUCUCGCGUCAGGAUAUGCCUAGGUGGGAUUAGCUAGUUGGUGAGGUAAUGGCUCACCAAGGCGACGAUCCCUAGCUGGUCUGAGAGGAUGAUCAGCCACACUGGAACUGAGACACGGUCCAGACUCCUACGGGAGGCAGCAGUGGGGAAUAUUGCACAAUGGGCGAAAGCCUGAUGCAGCCAUGCCGCGUGUAUGAAGAAGGCCUUCGGGUUGUAAAGUACUUUCAGUUGUGAGGAAGGGGGUGUUGUUAAUAGCAACAUCUCUUGACGUUAGCAACAGAAGAAGCACCGGCUAACUCCGUGCCAGCAGCCGCGGUAAUACGGAGGGUGCGAGCGUUAAUCGGAA
rnacentral:rRNA from 1 species